UACGGAGGGAGCUAGCGUUAUUCGGAAUUACUGGGCGUAAAGCGCACGUAGGCGGCUUUGUAAGUUAGAGGUGAAAGCCUGGAGCUCAACUCCAGAACUGCCUUUAAGACUGCAUCGCUUGAAUCCAGGAGAGGUGAGUGGAAUUCCGAGUGUAGAGGUGAAAUUCGUAGAUAUUCGGAAGAACACCAGUGGCGAAGGCGGCUCACUGGACUGGUAUUGACGCUGAGGUGCGAAAGCGUGGGGAGCAAACAGG
rnacentral:rRNA from 2 species